GCAUAUGCAUGCUAUUACACUAGGCUCACAUCUCACACUAAUAUAAAUACUAAUGAAUAAAUAAACAAACAGAGCACAACACUAUAAAUGGCAUCGUUUUUUCACCACGUCAACAAUCGUCCCAUAACCACCGCCUGAGCCUGGACCCAGUGAACACAAAUUCCAUCCCUCUCUACGAGACCAAAGUUUCCAGUUUUGAAUAACACCCAAGGCAGCAGCAGCACCGCCAUUGAUUCGUAACGGGAUGUUAACCAAGCCCGGCUUUUCUUCAUCCUAUCUUAUCGUUGCAAUGGAAUACUCUGAGAAGAAGUGAUGAACACCAUCGGCAUCAACGAAAAUCUCAAGAAGUUCGACAGGAAUGGAUGGAGAUGGAAUCGUUUUAUUUGCUUUCUUUCUUCUUCUCCUCAUGCAGUUUUGUUGCGAUCCUCGCUUUUGCUCUCUUGGUGUCUCGGGGACUUGCGUAAAGCAACCGUGGGUUCGAAGAUCCAAUUGUGUGGUGCUCAGCCUUGGAGGCUUUCUUUCUUAAAGCCACGACGUGCUGGUGAGGAUCAGACAAGACGAAGGAAAGUGAGAGAGGGAUGUCGCCGAGAGGUGGUGACUAAGUCACUUCAAGGUGGAGGCGCAUAAAAAAGGACAAGGAUGCAAAUCGACUAGAUCUAAGGUCCAUUGCCUUUCUCUAUCCAUCGGUUCCGUUUUGUCAUCGCUCUAUUGGAAGGUGCGAUGUUGCGGUCCAGUGAGUAGAUCGCACAAUAAGAGAUGAACUUGGUUUAGUGCGUCUGAUUAGAAGUGACUGAGAGCGAGUGGAACACGAGCUGCAGGAGCCCGAUGCCGCUCGGAGUACCGUGGUGGGGUUAGAAGGGUCUGGGAAGCCUACGAUUGUUGCUGCCUCGGCAGCAAUUGGAGGAGCUCGGAGAACCGCUUGACAUUUCGACGCUUUGACCUUUCGAAGCUUUCAGGCCGAACGUGGUCCACUGAGGGAAUAUCGAUUUCGAACACGGUUUUCGAAAACGAAGCCGAUUGGAGGAGAAGUAAUUAAGUUGAUGAUGGGCAGCUAAUUCAGAAACGCGAGAUUUGUUAUGAUUUCUUGGUGGUAUUGGAGCUUACUGAAGACCGAUACAAGGCGAAAUGAGGGUUUCGACUGCUAUCAAAAGUAUGCUCCUGCGAAAUAGGGUCGGUUGAAUCAGGGCGACCUUUCAGAGCUUUCCACGGCGCGACCUGACGGAAGCAUAGCAGCUAAAUUAUUCUGCUUAUGCUAGCAUGCAACUAAAAUUGUAAGCCAAAUUUUAUAAAUGAGACAAUUGCAGCGCUACGGCAUCAUGGGCCUGCUCGCCCAAUGUGUGAGACGUUCUCAGAU